UCCACUGGCAAAUUUUGCCAAUGAAACAAGCAAAUUUUCACUUGUUUCAAGUGAAUUUUCACUUGAAACAAGAGAAAAUUCUCUAAAAACAAGUUACUUCUCUCACACCGUGACACACAUUUCUCAAAUAAUCAACAGAUUAAUCGAUAAUGAAAUUAAUCGAUUAGUUGUGGCUCUAAUCGAUGCGUCUGGAGGCCGUCAGCUCCUGCAGGCGGCGUCACGCUUCCUGUGUGUGUGUUAAAGCGCCAGGAGGAGCUCCAAACGUCUCGCUUUACGUUAAUACUCUGUGUGUGUGUGUGUGUGUGUGUGUGUGUGUGAGCGCACACGCUGUGAUCAGCUGGUCGACGUGCCGCUGGUCUCUGAUUGUGGGCGGAGCCUCGCGUCCGCCCCUCUCCUGGCAGCUCCGAGCCGACGCCCCGCUCCGUCAGACCUUCAAGCGUUUUAAUUUUUCCUAAAAUCCAAACUCACAACAGGAAGUGACCGUCUGCUCGUUUUAACUCGUCACAGUUUGUGUUUUUUUUUUUUUUCUGCUUUGCCUUUCAGAACCUUAAAGCAACACGAUGUAAUUUUUUAACGUCUUAGCGCCAUCUAGUGGCUGCCCAGCAGUACUUGAUGCAUCACAGCUACUGUAAAGUUAGAAAUGUUUAAAAGCGCCAAAUUAUUAGAUUUGGCAAGUGAUUACGUAUUAUUACAUAUUGUACCUUUUUUAACAUAGUAUGGAUGAAUUAGCAUAGCCUGUUAGCAUGCGUUGAUUAGGUCGCAUUAAUCAAAACUAAAACUGAAAGUGAGCUCGGAGCUUGGAGGUAAACCCGACCGGGUGUGAUAUUUGAGAUGUUUAGUCGUGUUUCUGAGUUGUGUGUGUGUGUGUGUGUGUGUGUGUGUGUGUGUGUGUGUGUGUGUGUGUGUGUGUGUGUGUGUGCCACGUGGGAACAAGCUUUCCCUCAGCAGGCAGCUCUCACACCUGGAAACUCCUAGCAGGCGUCACGGAGGCGAGGUAAAGUAGAGAAAUGUGUUUAAGCCUCUGAUUUUCGAGUGAACACAUUAACACACACCUGAACUUUGACUAACGGACAUGAGAGACUCGACUAACUUGGAAAUUAUUAUUUUCUUUACUUACUGAUCUGAUAAAAUGGGCUUUUCUCCCGGCUGUGAUCGACAGAAGAGCUCUGAACAAAUAGAAAAUAAAACAGAACCCGUUCUGCUCUCUGUGUCUAAUGCUUAUGUUAUGAAGGCAGACCUUUAUUCUGAAAGGCACAGCUCUGAGAGGAGACGAUGCUGUCGUUUCUGACGUCGACGUCUGUGUUUUGUUUUUUGUAAAUUGCUCCUCCCGUUCUGAGUUUCCACGUUGAGCCGUUUGCUUGGUGUCGUCUCGGUGAGUUUACAGUAACUUGGUGAAGCUUGUGAGUUUUGUUUUGCUGCGGCGGGGCUUUUAUUGCAGCGGAGAAGGAAAAAAAAGCCUUUGUGAUCAAACUGUUUGUGUGACUGGUUCAGCAGCCUGCCAGCGAGUCCGAGGCAACUGGGAGAAAUCCCAUCGUAGAGAAACUUUACUGCGUUUACUCGUCACGAACUUCCACUGAACGGCCGACGUGAAGGUUUUUUUUGUUUUGCUUUGUUUUGUUUUUGUUUUUGUUUUUGUUUACCACUUAGCAGCGAGUGUUUACUUUAAAUCUGUUACAGGAGAGAACAACCAGAUCAGCAAAUCUUCAGUGUGUCUGUGUGUGUUUUCAUUUGUCCCGUGUUUAAAGAGCGACUAAACCCCAGCCUGUGUGAAGCCUGACCCCUGCUGGUCAGCUGGUGUGUGUGACCACCCAGAGGUCAGGCCUCACACACACACACGCACACACACACACACACAUUUGGGUUUGGGGUUUCGUUGCUCUUUAAAUUGUGGAGCCGAUAUAAAAACAUAUCUGAGGAAGAUGAGAACAUUUUCUCUAAGAUUUGCUCUUUUUUAGCUUUAAUGUUUUUAUUUUCUUUCUGCCGCUCCUUGUUUAUUGUCUUCUGAUGACUUGAUGAAUUAUUCCACUAACAGAAAAAUCAAGUGUUUAUGGCGGCGAGUUUGAGCCACUGACGGGGGAAAAAAAUUACAGAACCAGGGGAGAGAGGGGGGGAUUAUUCUGAGAAAAAUAACUUAGAUAUUCUCUGAGAUUAAAGUGGUAAAUUUACAAGAAAAAUGUACAGAUCUACAAGAAAAAAAUUCUGAGAUUAUAAAAUUUAUGAGAAAAACAGAUUUUUUUGGUCAAGGAGCCACAUCACUUCACUUAGCUGAAUCCGGUUCUCAGUUCUUCGCUCCUUUCACCAAAAGUAAAUAAAAUAAAAAAUUAUUAUUUUUUAGUUUUCUGAUUUUUUUUUUAUCUCAUAAAUUUGAGUUGUUGUUUUUUUUUCAUGAAUUUACCACUUUAAUCUCAAAGAAUGUCUGAGUCUUUCUUUCUUGUAAAUUUACAAAUUAAUCUUUGGAAAUUUUUUGGAGUUUUUUCUGGGAUUAUUUCCCCUCCCUCUCCCAGCUCUGUAUUUUUUUUUCUCCCUCGCCGUCGUAAAUGUUUCAGAUUAACUUGAGAAACUAUUUUGCAGACUGUUCCUCAUAUCAGAACAUGUCGUGCUCAUCUAUUUUUGUAUAUAUGCAUGUGUGUCGAGCAGGCGCUUCGCCUCUGGUAGGAAAACUGAAGUGAUAAAACUUCAGAGGUCAAAGUCCUGGAGAAACCAAAAACCUCCAGGAUGCUGAAGGACGGUCCCUCCGUGGGGACGGGACGUUUUAACGAGAGGGGACGCCACGCGCUUUUAGUGACGUUUUCUCAGUUUGACUCAUUCGGUUUGUUUUCGCAGCUCAUAGAUUUAAACAUGAAUUGACUUGAAAAGACUGAAGUCACCAGCUGCAGCAGGUGCAGGUGCAACGAUCAGGUGCAGGUGUGCAUCCUGAACCUGUAAGAAACAGCUGAGGAGCCUUGAACGCCCCUCCGUCCUCCAGACUGAGGCUGAGGGCGUCUGGAGAAGCUGCUCACCUGCUCAGGUGUGUCACCAGACCCUGAAUGACAAGUUAAACUCUCACAACACUAACAUGUUUUUACCCUGAAGACUGUUAACUCACUUUUUGUCUGCUCUCUUUUGUCUGAGUUUGUCUUUUGUACGCCAUGUUUGUACACUUUUAUUUUGAAAGUAUGAUUUGGCCUUUGCCUUUGUUCAAAUGGCUUUCUGUCUCUUUUUUUUUUUGUACAUUAAAGAUUUAGGCAUCGACACGCA